AACGAACGCUGGCGGCAGGCCUAACACAUGCAAGUCGAGCGAAGCCUUCGGGCUUAGCGGCGGACGGGUGAGUAACGCGUGGGAACGUGCCCUUUGGUACGGAAUAGCCCCGGGAAACUGGGAGUAAUACCGUAUGUGGUCGAGAGACGAAAGAUUUAUCGCCCAAGGAUCGGCCCGCGUUGGAUUAGGUAGUUUGUGGGGUAAUGGCCUACCAAGCCGACGAUCCAUAGCUGGUUUGAGAGGAUGAUCAGCCACAUUGGGACUGAGACACGGCCCGAACUCCUACGGGAGGCAGCAGUGGGGAAUAUUGGACAAUGGGCGCAAGCCUGAUCCAGCCAUGCCGCGUGAGUGAUGAAGGCCCUAGGGUUGUAAAGCUCUUUCACCGGUGAAGAUAAUGACGGUAACCGGAGAAGAAGCCCCGGCUAACUUCGUGCCAGCCGCCGCCGUAAGAC
rnacentral:rRNA from 1 species